rnacentral:rRNA from 1 species
UGCCCACUGAUUAUAAUAAUUAAAGGGCUGCAGUAUAUUGACUGUACAAAGGUAGCAUAAUCAUUAGUCAUUUAAUUGAUGACUUGUAUGAAAGAUUUGAUGAGAUAUAAACUGUCUUAAUUUUAAAUUGUAGAAUUUAAUUUUUUAGUUAAAAAGCUAAAAUAAUUUAAAAAGACGAGAAGACCCUAUAGAGUUUUAUUUUAAUAUAAAAGUUUAUAAAUUUAUGUAAAUUUUAAAUUGAAAUUUUUAUUAAAAUUUUAUUGGGGUGAUAGAAAAAUUUAAUAAACUUUUUUUAUAUAAUUAACAUUAAUAAGUGAUUAUUUGAUCCAAUUUUAUUGAUUAUAAGAAUAAAUUACCUUAGGGAUAACAGCGUAAUUUUUUUUUUUAGUUCAUAUAAGAAAAAAAGUUUGCGACCUCGAUGUUGGAUUAAGAUAAAAUUUAAAUGUAGAAGUUUAAAAUUUUGA